GCGAAAUGCCGAAGCUUAUUUAUUGGCAGUCGCAUUCCUGCGUACAGAACGCCAUGCCGUGGCUUCCACGCGAACCCGACCGAAUACUUUUCUGUGAUUCCAACCAUCCCAAAGCCCACGGACCGCGUUACAUUCCUGCUUCGAUCUUCCAGCGAUCUCACCAGAUCUUCUUCCUCGACGAGGCAACAGCACCCACUGGGUGUAUAUUCACGCGCCGCGGGAGCUCGCAUAAAACUGCUCCCGAGUUUGUGGCGCCACCUCUUGCAAAUUAAAGAGAAAUUCUAACACAUAUGGAUAUUCAUAGCGCCAUUCAACACGCAACGAACACGUAACGUAUCACGAGCUGCUCUUUCUUUUCUUAUUCUUUUUUCCGAUUUUCUGUAAUUGUUUCGCGUUUGAUUGUAAUGUGUAUGUUUACUUGGCACUGGCAGUAUGUGUUUGCACUGCCGUUUAAUUAACUAAACGUAGCAUAGACCGAUAAAUGGCACGUAUCAGCUAUAAAACCACCGCCUUCGACACUGCUGAUAACACUCUAUGUUGUUGGUUUCUUACCCACUGUUAUGUCAGCAGUUGUGUUCAAAAAGUACCUUCACGCCUACGUUUCUCUACGUACAUAUAUACCAAGGAUAGGCAUAGACAAUAAAUAUGUGUAUUCAUGCGUGCUUGCGCAUUAUGUGAGAAUUAAUUUCAUUAGAAACAUCCCUUAUUGAAAGAGUGUUUUUCUACUUGAUAUUUUUCUUAUUGCAAUAAUUCAAAAACUUAUUGAUCAUAAUUUAUAUUUUGUAUUAUUAUAAAUAUCAAUUAUUAUGUAUUUCUAUUUUUUUCAUAAAUUAUUUAUUUCAAUAACAUUUAAAAAUAAUUUUUUAGUACAAGAAAAUUCUGGUCAAUUCUGAUCUGAUUUUAAUUGUCAUCUAAAAAUAAAAUAAAUGUAAUCUCAUCACAAUUUAUCUUGUUGCCAUUAAUUAUUACUAUUAAUAUUUUAAUUUUACUAUUAAUAUGUAUUUUUCAAGAAUUCUACAAUUAAUGUAUUUCUUGUUAUUGGUAGAAAUUAUCGAUAUAAAUUAAUGUAUUUUUUUGUAAUUGUAUUGUAUAAAAAAUGAUCAUUAAAAUUAACCUAAUACAAAUUUAUGUAAUUACUGCUUUCAAGUUGAUAAUACAUUUUCAAUUGCAACAAGUUAUUAUUUACAUAUCUUUUUUUCGAACUUCGCUUUAAUUUUAUUAUUAGAUCAUUAUAAAUUCAAUAAUCAUCAUAAAAUGAAUAAUUAUUAUCAAUAUAAAUUUAAAAUAUUCUUUUUUGUAAUAUCACUACUUGAUUAUGUAACGGUAAAUUUUUAUUAUUCAUAAGAUCGGCGUAGUAUAUUGAUUUUAUACUUGAUUAUAUUUCAUAUAAUUGCAUGAUCAUUAUCACGUCUAAGAAUAAUUAUUGGUAUAAUAUAUUCUAUUUCCUUUUUUAAUUAAGGAAAUAAAUAAAAAAUGUUAACCAUUUUCUUUUAUCAAUUAUUAAUAAUUUCUUUCAAUUUAUAAUAGUCCUGCAAUAGUUUUUAUAUCAUAUAAUAAUUAUAUGAUUAAUAAUUUAAUUUAUUUUAAUAAUUUUAUUCUUUUUAUUUCUUUCACAAAGUUAGCUUUUUUAAUUUAAUCAAUAAUUUACCACAUUUUAAUAAUUAGAUUGUAGGUACUAACGCUGAAAUAUCUAUAUAUAUAUUUAUAAUAAAUAAUGUGUAAAAAUAUAGAGACUAACAUUAAGUCAAUUUUAUAUGAUGCAAUUUCUAUCACAUCUGGCUAAAAGCGGCAAUCUUCACGCUCGUAACACCUACGGCCAUUAAUAAUUCUUGCCCGGUACCUUUACCACGUGGGUUUUCCCUGUACAACUGCAAACGACCAUUUCUAGAGGCACGUUAAGAUCGCGGCUUCUGUGUGCGUAAUGCAGUGGAUGCGUCUUGGUCGUUGGUUGUCCGACUCUUGACUCGAUUUCGCGACCGCAAGUCGAGAGAUAUAUCUCUCCCGAUUUCCUUCCCUCUCGUUCUUUCUCUAGUCUCUUUUCGUUUCUUUUUGUUACUCAUCCAUUCCAGCAUCUCGCUUCCCUAUGCUCACAGCGACUCAUUCCCUCUUUGUUCUCGUUUCUCUCAUCCCUUCCGUGGUUGUGCUGAUUCUCCCUUCUCCUCCCAUCCCGCCAAUGGGACAGGGAGAUAGCAGACCCCGUCGAGGAGACAACAUAAAGAUUUAAGACUCCAAGAUGCGCCAAUAAACAUGCUGCGGCCGUGCAGUCAGCCUGCGCUUCUCUACUGCGUUCGCUUCUGUUCCAUUUCAUUCGGUUCCGCUCUGCUCUGUUCCGUUCCGUUCUGUUCUCUGUUCUGUUGUGUUCUGUUUCACAGCCACCACACAGGAAAUAUGCAUGUGUGUAUAUGUGCAUAUAUAAGUGUAUGUAUACAUAUAAGCGCCACUCUAUCCGCUAUACACAUGGGGAUGCAGGUUUCCUCUCGUAUGCACGUGGUGCCACGGCUGCGUAACGUGCUUUCGAAAAGUGUCUCGAUGCGUAUGCAGAUAUGCGGCUUAGCAUGAAUAGUAUCUAGAUCCGGCCAUGGAUAACCUGCUACGAUACCAGCAAAUUCGAGCACUAAGACUGGAUUUCUAGAAAUACACCGGAAAAAACUUUUUUUCGUCUAUUAGAUAAAAAAUACUUGUAGAAAAUACUUACAAGAUUCAUGCAUAAUUGUCAUUUCAUCUUUUAUUUUUCCUAACCUAACUUAAUAUAUAUGCAUAUAUGUUCGCAAGCAUGCGCAGAAUCACUAUUCAGUGUGCAACUCCUCUUUCUCCGACACUCUUUCAUUUACCGCCCUAAUACAUUCAUUAACGUUACAAAGAUCGUUAAAUGGAUCUCCCGUCCCGUUCCUCCCACGACAAAAUCACUUGUCCUUUAAAAUCCAUUCGAAACAUCCUCGAAGUGAUCUACGACUUCUACUCGAACGCGUCGCUGUCGAGGAGGAAGAGACCUUCCGGAUAACGAGACAGAAGUACACCUGCCGCGUUCGUAGAGGAGGCAGGACACGCUGAAAAGUUUUCAAUGCGAGGACGGUCGUACACCGCAAAAGUAGUAGAUCGGGACGUAGUUGGUCGUCCAAGCGGCAAGAAGGAAUCAACAGUGGAACCGUUGCUGGCUGCUUCUGGCCGUUGCUACUGCUCCAGCUCCUACUUUUGCCUGUCCUCUCGCUCUCCUCGGCCCGGCUUAUUUAUUCCUCUCUCUGUCACUGCCUCCCUUUCUUUUGCGACUUCUUCUUUAUUUCUGUCCUUUUGCCCGUUUUCUGCUUCCGCAAACGACAGCCGCUUAUUUAUACCCCGUCUUUGCAUCGCGCGGGAGCGAGCGAGGGCGCUUUUGCGUUUACUCACUACUGCCGUUCCCUCUGCCGCUUCUGUGUUGCUCCGCCGGUACUUCGCUUCUUUACCCUUUCGCUCGCUCCUUUUGUCGUUCGUUUCUUUUUCUCUUCCUCUUUCUCUUAACUGUGGCCAAGCGUGUGCUAGCGAAACAUCAACGGCGAGGCACUUUGCUCACGAACACCGAGAGAUGCGCUCGAUGCGAGAGGCAAUACCGCGACUGCAUCACCUGUCAACGCGAGAUCGCGUUCCAACAAGUCUAUAUUACAUGCAGCAUGUAGCUAGUCGGUAAUCGUUGAGCCCGCCAUCAUCGGCUAAUUUGUCGAACGAGAAAUUUAUGAUAAUCUUUUUCAUCAAUAUAGAAGCAUUACUUACAAUAUAAAAAAGAUUAUAUUUUUUAUUGCCAGAAAAUUUGCAUAAUAUUAUAUUAAUUUCAUUUGAUUUAACAUUUAAUAGAUAUAGUGAUAUGUAAAAUUGAUAUAUUUAUUCUUUAACUUGUGACAUACACUUUUUGAUAUAAAAUUAAAUUAUUGAAAUUGAUUUGGAUUUCUUUGUUUGUUUCUUUCUGUUGUUCAAAUAUAUCUAAUUUAAAUGAAAUAAGAGUAACAAUUCUAUAUGAAAUAACAAUAUAACAAUUAUAUAUGAAAGAUAUAUAACACUCGUAGAAAAGUAAAUUAAUCAGUUUAUUGAAAUUGGUAAAAUUAGUAUCAAUGAUUAUCAGAAAGUUAAAUUAAAAUUGAAAUUAGAUAUGGUAUUUUACAUAAAUUGCACAAUUAUGUAACGAUGAAAUGUUGCAUUAGCCUUUGUACGAUUGUGAUCUUGUGAUAUGUUGAUCCUUUGGAUCACAAAAUAGAUAUAAUUUAGUUUGAUGUGUUUUUAUUUGAAGAGAAAAAAAAGAAUCAUAUCUCAAGAAAUCCGUACGUUGGAAAUUCCAAAAGAAAAACUUGAAAUAGAUAACAAUUGAAGACUGAUAACACAAAAAUAACUGAUAAGGGAAUUAAUUUUUAAUUUACUAUCAAGAAGACUAUUUCUAUAUUUAAAUCGGAACACGUGAAUGUAUUAUUAUAUUAUUGUUGUUAUCAAUGCUGCCAAGAAACAUCAAUCAGUUUGAAGUGUAAUAAUUUCCGGAUUAAUUUCGAUAAGCAUACAUCGAUGAUGUAAGGAUCUUAUAUACGGGAAGAAAAAGAGCGAAUAGGUUAAGUCUGAUCACGAAAUAACUAAACGAUUGAGGCGCGGUACGAACUAUGGUUCGUGCACGCCCUUGCUAAAGCUCCGAAGACCCGAACAAAUAAAUGUUGAAAAGAGGAACAAAAACGACAUUAUGUGGCAUUAACAUACAAAGUAUGUCAGACCCGCGGUCCGCAGGCAUAACAUAGUAUCGCGGCGUUCGCAUACUCCGCCCGCUUUACAGUGACCAGAAGGAACGGGAAAGCAUUGAAAAGAGACCGAUCCCGAAAGCGACGAACAGAGAAAAGAGAAGGGUAGAAGGAAGAAUAGCAAGAGAGAGAGAGAAAAAGAAUGAGUGUCGAAUGUGUUCGAGUAGAGGCAAUAGGCUGUGUGCGGAAUAAAGAAGGCAGAAUGAUGAACGCAGAAAGGUGUGUGUGCUGUGAAAAAGGAGAAAGGAGGAAAAGGAAAAGAGAGUGAGAGAAAGAACUGAGGGAGCAGAGAGAAACGUUUACGCUAUCCUCGGUCCUCCGAAGUCCCAUCCCGUCCCAUCCCAUCGUUUCGUUGUCCCCGUGUGUGCCACGCGGUGCGGCUCAACGCAAAAGGGUCCACAGAGCGGGAGCAGAGUAACAGAACGCGCAGGAAAGGGAAAGAUCCAAAGCAGCAGCAAGCUGGUGGCAAAACGAAAAAUCGGCCCGCAUAUAUCGAGCUGGCCUGCGACGACGACGACCGCGGCGGCGGCGGCGGCGGCGGCAGUGGCGGUGGCGGCUACGACGACGAAGGUGGGACACACAUAUAAAACGAAGGAUUUCUUGUGUCCUCACUGCCUAGUGGACUCCCGAUCGGCUACUGCUAGCAAUGGUUCUGAACGUGAUUAAAAAAAGAUUUAAAAUAAAGACAAUUCUUAUUUAUCUAUUUUUGUAUUUUUAUUGAUUAUAUUUAUUAUACUUUUUUGUUAAUUAUUUUAAAAUUUUUUGUUAAUUAAUUUUAAUAAUAGUGUUUCUGUAAUAUAAAUAUUUUUCAAUUGAAAUAUUCAUUUAUUAUAUGAAACAAAUAAAAUAUUAUUGAAAGUUUGUAUUUUAAUUUUAAAAAAUAUUUGAUUUUGAAUUUUAUAUAAUUUGAUAAUUAAGAUUUUUUUUAUAUAUACGAUUAAAAUAAAUAUAAAAAUUAAAUAUAAUCAAUAUUUAUAAUUUAUGUAUUUGAUACAUAUUAAUGAUUAACGAACGAAGAAUAUUUGAAAAUUUAUUUUUUAUUUUUUAAAUUAAAUAUCGUAUAUUAUUUUUUUUUAAACAUAUGAAAGUUAAUAUUUUUAUUCAAAAAACAUUUUACUUUCAAAUGUUACGCAUGUCUAACGCUAUUUAUAAUCUUCAAGCCGUUUUUUGCUUUUAUUUUUAGCUAUUGGAAAACUUAUGUCUAAAAUUCUAUAUAUAUAUUUAUACGUUAUAAUAAAAUUUUAAACAAUUAAAAAUGUUAGAAAAUUAUUAAAAAUUUAUUAAAAUAAAUUAAAUAGAGGAAUAUUAUAAAAUACAUUAAUUAUGCUAAACUAUAUAUUUAUUUCUAUAAAUAUGAAUAGAUAAAUCUGAUAUAAUACAUAAGCAUGGUUUAUUAACGCUUACAAAAAUUUGUGGAUUAGAUUAACAAUCUUGAUAUAUAUUGUAAAUAUAAGAUCUCUUUACAUGUACAAUAAUGAGUGGAACACAAAUGUGUGUAUAUAAUAAACUAAGAUUUAAUAUAAUAUCAUUGUAA